AAUUCCAAUUCCAAAGCUCUACAAGAACACUCACAUUGGAGAACGUGUGAAUUAAGUUUGUCUUGACGGGAUGACCAGUCGACCAGGUAUAAAAGGCCUACUCUGUUCCAGUUUCUCUCUUUCUUACAAUGAAUCACCCGUUGUCCGCUCCUUAAAACACUAAUCAGUUGCGACCAAAACCCAGAUUGGCUCCAAACCUGUUCCCAAUCUGGUUUCUCAUUACGAAAUCGGCAUCGUUGAAAACAGAGUUGAAGGAAUAAGAAUGAAAAAAAAAAGAAAAAGAGAGAAUGGGGUGGAAUCACCCAGAUAUAUCGUUGAAAGAAAUGAUGAAACUGAUCAAAGGGUUUGUAGAUAUACUAACUUUAUCAUCUGGGUAUCAAUCAUCUGGUCUUCUCCCGGUACCAGUGUGACUCCCAUAACAUUAAGCGAGCCUUUCAAUGGGCUCUCUUCUUUGAAAACGUUUUUAGGCGUUUAAGCAACUUGGAUGUUUACCAAGAGUCUAUAGAGGGACCUGAUGCAGCUUUAUUUGAAAUGACAUCCCAUCCUUCCUUUCCUCAGGUUCUGGUCGUUAUACAUCUGCUUUCUUAUAUACUAAUCGAAAUUUUACGUGAUUGUAUUGUUAUUAGUAUCAUUUUCGUGACAGGGUCUUGCACAUUUAUCAUCUGCUACUUUUAGAAGGGAAAGAGGUUUUUUGUUGGAACACUUGCUCCAUAAUUUUCCAUUGAGAGAUUCACAUCAAAGAGCAGUUUUGACAACAAUCAUUAAGAUGGAUCAUAGUAACCUUUCAGAGACAGAACAUGACUGUCUCAAAUCUCAAUGCAUAUUUGAAUAAUUUGACCCUGCGAAAUAGAAUUGUACUAGGAAUUCGAUUAUAUCAUCUCCAGAAGUAACUCCAACCGUGGCUGAAAAGUCUAGCAGUGGUAAUUUUACUAAACUUGCUGUUCAGAAACUCUUCAGGAGGCAAUCUUCCAUGUCAUGCAUAUCAAGUGUUGAGGUAGGAGUGGAGAUACUUUCUAAUGCUGUAAGGUGUAGCAACUGGAUUCAUUCUGACUGUAGCUUAUUUAAAUCGCUGUAAGGCGUACCAGCUUUAGUGCGGUAAUUAAGUACUGAUAUUCUUGCUAGUAAUUCCAUGCUGCUCAGAAAUAUGAAUGUAACUUCCCCGAUCCCACAAAAGGUGCCUUUCAAGUUUGAGUUUAAAUAUAUAUAUAUAUAUAUAUCAAUCUUUAUCCAUACAUUCUUCCAUAUAUAUAUAUAUAUCAAUCCUUAUCCACACAUUCUUCCAAUGUGAGAUUGAGGGUGUUACAAUGAAUACAUGAGUUAAUGCUUAGUUCUUAAAAGGAUAUGGAAUCUAUUUCUUUUCUUUACAUCACCAUCCAACUCUCUAAAAGACUACCUUUUAUUUUCUUUGAAACUCAUGGAUCUCCCUUGUUAGUAUUUCAACUAACAAUUUUCUGAUGCAGUAAUCACAAACUGUUAGAUGACACUCGGAUUAAUAAUCAAUUGCUUCUACUCUGCAUCACUUUUCUUAAAGGUCUGAGCCAAAAUAUUUCGUUUUUCUACCUAGAAGUGCAUGCAUUAGUUGAUGUCAUCACAUGGAACGUUGGAAAUCAAGGGCUUUGUCAUAUUUUCUUGAUAAGAGAACUAUUAGAUUGGUUUCUGGUGCCAGUUUAAUAUUUUCAGGCACUAACACUCAAUGGGAAAAGUGUUUGGGCAGCUGAACUUUUCGGAAAAAAAGUGGCAACAAUCCUUACAUGAGGCAAUUGUAAGUUUGUUCUACUUGAUAUGACUGAUAGUGAUGUAAAGCUUGCUUUACCAUGUUUGAUGUGUAUCCUAAUAGUGAGUGUCACAUGCUUGUUAAUAUCUAUAUUGUUCUAGUUCUUGCUCUUAUGCUUGUGCUAUGUUUUUGGCCAUCAUGUCAUUAUGUCCAUCUACAUGUUGCAAAUGGUAACUAUGCUGAAUUUGGAGGAAGUAUAAAAUUUUGGUAGAAAGACACCGAUUUAGUGUUAUAUUCCUCUAGAUAUGCUAUACUUUGCAAUUGUUUGCCUGUUGUUGAUUUGGGCUUUGAAUGAGUAGUUUACAUUCUAGGUAUUUUUAUUUAUGAUUUAUCGGGAAAAGAAAAGCAUAUCUGUUUCUUUCUUUUAUCAUUUGAUGUUACAUGAUGUUUAUGAUGGAUGUGGUGUGGCUGCAGUUACGUUGAAAGCAAAGGGACAUGAAAACAGAUAAAAAAAUUCCAGGGAGAAAACAAAAGAUGUAAAAUACUUGAUCUGCUAUUGAAAAUCGCUGUAUUUUCCUAGGAUGAAAGUUAUUAUUAUUAUUAUUUUCUUUUGCAAAGCAAAGGGUGAUGAAACUUAUUGUUGCAUACAGUAACGGUGUGCAUCUGCUAUCUGCCGCACAAAAAUAUUCACAUCUUUGUGGGCCUUCGUCCGGAUAAAGUGAAACCAAACCUUUCUUCCUUUCGGCACUAGAAGAGUCAGACAGGCAUGGACGGCAUAAACUUUUUAGUCACAGCAAACAUUACCUUGGUGUGUGUGUGUGUGUCUCUCUCUCUCUCUCUUAAUUUGUAGAUGCUUCACAGAAAGUUCACCACGCAUAAAACUGAAAGAGAAAUCACAAAUGAUAAACACCAGCAAAUUUUUGUAAGGCUAACCAAUUCAAAAAGUGCUCAUCCCAGACCACAUCUAGUCCUUUCUCCAAGAUUAGACAAUGGAUGACCUAGGAAUGAUGGCAAAGCAAAGUGGAAAGAAAUAAGGGUGACAAUGAUUCUGAUUUCAGACAAAUGGCAAAGUGCCAUCUAACAACAUCUUUAGACAUGAAAAGUUCAAUAUUUCAUGCUUUCUUUCAAACUGUAUAUAUCUUAUUGCCCUUAUUGCUUUAGCCUUGCAGCCUCUCCUCCUUUGAGUGGAUUCAUAGUUAGUAGUUUGGUAGGAGUUAGCAUUGAAAAUUGUGAA